rnacentral:rRNA from 1 species
UUGCCUCAGUAACGGCGAGUGAAGCGGCAACAGCUCAAAUUUGAAAUCUGGCCUCUUGGGGGUCCGAGUUGUAAUUUGCAGAGGAUGUUUCGGGUACCGCCUCGGUCUAAAUUUCUUGGAACAGAAUGUCAAAGAGGGUGAGAAUCCCGUCUUGGACCGGCGGUAGGGCCCAUGUGAAACUCCUUCGACGAGUCGAGUUGUUUGGGAAUGCAGCUCAAAAUGGGUGGUAAAUUUCAUCUAAAGCUAAAUAUUGGCCAGAGACCGAUAGCGCACAAGUAGAGUGAUCGAAAGAUGAAAAGCACUUUGAAAAGAGAGUUAAACAGUAUGUGAAAUUGUUGAAAGGGAAGCGCUUGCAACCAGACUUGAGCGCGGCGGUUCCCCCUUCCUUCUGGUUGGGCUACUCCGUCGUGUCCAGGCCAACAUCGGUUCUGGGGGUCGGUUAAAGGCCCGGGGAAUGUACCUACGCCUCCGGGUGUAGACUUAUAGCCCCGGGUGUCAUGCGACCUCCCGGGACCGAGGAACGCGCUUCGGCUCGGAUGUUGGCGUAAUGGUCGUAAGCGACCCGUCUUGAAACACGGACCAAGGAGUCUAACAUCUAUGCGAGUGUUUGGGUGUCAAACCCGGAACGCGAAAUGAAAGUGAACGGAGGUAGGAAGCCUUUAGGCUGCACUAUCGACCGAUCCUGAUGUCUUCGGAUGGAUUUGAGUAAGAGCAUAGCUGUUGGGACCCGAAAGAUGGUGAACUAUGCCUGAAUAGGGUGAAGCCAGAGGAAACUCUGGUGGAGGCUCGCAGCGGUUCUGACGUGCAAAUCGAUCGUCGAAUUUGGGUAUAGGGGCGAA